CGGAGCGGGCGCCGGGGGCCGGCUGGCGCGGGGGCUCCGACCCCGCCCGGCCUGGCGAUGGAGUUUCCGGACCUCGGGGCUCACUGUUCGGAGCCGAGCUGUCAGCGCUUGGAUUUUCUGCCGCUUAAGUGUGAUGCCUGCUCAGGCAUCUUCUGCGCAGACCAUGUGGCCUACGCCCAGCAUCACUGUGGAUCUGCUUACCAAAAGGUGAGGGGGCGAUCCUCAGGGUGAAAGCAGGCAGAUGGAGAAUGCGUGCAGAAUCCCCCAAAUCUGUGUCUCACGUUUCUUCUCCCUUUUGUCUUUCUGAGGCUGUCAGUGCUGGGAAACACUGUUUUUUUGAGUGUUUGUGGUGGGUCAUAUCCAAGUUCUUUCAGGACCAGAGAUUUGUUGGACUGGAGUGGGCCACAGACUGACCCUUGCUCCUUGACUACAGGAUAUCCAGGUACCUGUGUGCCCUCUCUGUAAUGUGCCUGUGCCUGUGGCCAGAGGGGAGCCCCCUGACCGUGCUGUGGGAGAGCACAUUGACAGAGACUGUCGCUCUGAUCCAGCACAGCAAAAACGU
rnacentral:sRNA from 1 species